rnacentral:tRNA from 1 species
GUUUAUAUAAUUUAAAAAGAAUAUUGCGUUGAAGCUGCAAAAGAGAUAAGUUUAUCUGUAAACA